rnacentral:rRNA from 1 species
GCAGUCGACGGCAGCAUGAUCUAKCUUGCUAGAUUGAUGGCGAGUGGCGAACGGGUGAGUAAUACAUCGGAACGUGCCCUGUAGKGGGGGAUAACUAGUCGAAAGAUUAGCUAAUACCGCAUACGACCUGAGGGUGAAAGUGGGGGACCGCAAGGCCUCAUGCUAUAGGAGCGGCCGAUGUCUGAUUAGCUAGUUGGUGGGGUAAAGGCCCACCAAGGCGACGAUCAGUAGCUGGUCUGARAGGACGAUCAGCCACACUGGGACUGAGACACGGCCCAGACUCCUACGGGAGGCAGCAGUGGGGAAUUUUGGACAAUGGGCGAAAGCCUGAUCCAGCAAUGCCGCGUGUGUGAAGAAGGCCUUCGGGUUGUAAAGCACUUUUGUCCGGAAAGAAAUGGCUCUGGUUAAUACCUGGGGUCGAUGACGGUACCGGAAGAAUAAGGACCGGCUAACUACGUGCCAGCAGCCGCGGUAAUACGUAGGGUCCAAGCGUUAAUCGGAAUUACUGGGCGUAAAGCGUGCGCAGGCGGUUGUGCAAGACCGAUGUGAAAUCCCCGAGCUUAACUUGGGAAUUGCAUUGGUGACUGCACGGCUAGAGUGUGUCAGAGGGGGRUAGAAUUCCACGUGUAGCAGUGAAAUGCGUAKAGAUGUGGAGGAAUACCGAUGGCGAAGGCAGCCCCCUGGGAUAACACUGACGCUCAUGCWCGAAAGCGUGGGGAGCAAACAGGAUUA